rnacentral:rRNA from 1 species
GACGAACGCUGGCGGCGUGCCUAAUACAUGCAAGUAGAACGCUGAAGGAGGAGCUUGCUCUUUUGGAUGAGUUGCGAACGGGUGAGUAACGCGUAGGUAACCUGCCUGGUAGCGGGGGAUAACUAUUGGAAACGAUAGCUAAUACCGCAUAACAGUAGAUAUCGCAUGAUAGCUGCUUGAAAGGUGCAAUUGCACCACUACCAGAUGGACCUGCGUUGUAUUAGCUAGUUGGUGAGGUAACGGCUCACCAAGGCGACGAUACAUAGCCGACCUGAGAGGGUGAUCGGCCACACUGGGACUGAGACACGGCCCAGACUCCUACGGGAGGCAGCAGUAGGGAAUCUUCGGCAAUGGACGGAAGUCUGACCGAGCAACGCCGCGUGAGUGAAGAAGGUUUUCGGAUCGUAAAGCUCUGUUGUAAGAGAAGAACGAGUGUGAGAGUGGAAAGUUCACACUGUGACGGUAUCUACCA